UGUACCCAGUGUGUGGGUUUUAUACUGUAUAUGUGCGAAUGUUCUGAAUUUGUGCCUGUCCAUAUUUUGUGUACUUGUAUCUAAUACGUUGUAUAUUGUAUUCUGUCCUCAAGUGGCUAGGUGGUUAAGACGCUGGCUCGCUAGCCUGGAGGUCGGGUGUUCGAUCCCUGCAUUGGCCGAGAAAGUUCAUCUGGAUUUUCCGACGUGGUUUCCCCUUGUCAGUGGUGCAGAACGGAGGGCCUGACAAGGACAGCUGUCUAGUUUUUCAGAUGAUACGAAAAACCGUGUAUACAUUGGAAUGCACGUAAAAGAUCCCUUGGCAGUUGGAAUUCGAUAUAAGAGUAGGCGAUAGUGCCGCUGCCCGGGCAAAAUUUCCCUCAUAGCACACUGUAUGGCGUAUGCCCGUCUUCAUUAGCCCAGUAUAGGAGCAGAACAGUAGGACGUUAAACCCCAUUUCAUUUCAUUUCAUUUCUGUCCUCAAAGGAUGUUUCAAUCCUAUAAAAGGUCAUGGCUGUUGGGAAAAUUUCAAACGACCCACGGUAAUAAUAAGUAGUGCAAUGUGGUGUUAUUUAUGUUAAAGUUUUCCAGCAGUAUAAUUCGUGUCAAUGACUUCAGUGAUACUUACCUACAUAAGCAUAUUAGUAUUUGUUGAAGCUAAGCAACGAGUGUGCUCAAUUUAGUUAAAACCAGUCAGAAAUAGUUUCAAAAUGACCAGUCAAAUUUCAAAAGAGUCUGAUUUUAAGGAGUUUUACAAGAGGGAAGGAGAGGAUAUGAAAUAUAUGGAUGCAGUUGCAGUGCGUGAGAAAAUGACCAAAGAACAAGUAGCUAAUACUUUUGAUAAAUGGGUUGAAACCGGGGCUUAUGACACGGACGUUGCUGCCUUGAACUAUACUGGUCCAGUAGUGACAGCUGAUGCUGCAGUACACUUAUAUCCUAAUAACAGAGAAAAUAUUACAAUGAUAGAUAUAGCAGCUGGUCAUGGACUAUUGGCCAUAGAGUUGAGAAAGCAGGCGUUUAAACACAUUGAUGCGGUCGACCCAAGUCCAGCAUCAAAGAAAAUUGCUAUGGAGAAGAACCUGUAUGGGAGGUAUUUGGUAGAUUUUGUUGAUGAAAGACGAUUAGAUAUAAAAACAGAUGAAUAUGAUUGUGUGAUUAGUUGUGGAGGAUUUGCACCAGGAUUGAUGCCAUGUUGUGCUUUAAAUGAAAUGAUUCGAGUUGCAAAACCAGGUGGAUAUGUGUGUAUAAGUGUUCCUGAAUAUAUAUUUCGUCUAACGAAAGAAUACACUGAUCGUUUGGAGCCUUUAAUGGAUAAAUAUGUUAAAAGUGGCGCUUGGGAAAAAAUAUCCAGAACCGUUGUGGACAAUUAUUUAAAUCAAAAGCCCGGUAUCAUAUUUGUCUUUAGAGUUUUAAAAUCUGAAGUGUGUUGACUUAAGCAUACAUUAUGCAAGAGCUAAAUCUGCCUAUUGCAGGUCUUUCUUUAGGCCUGAAAUGUUAUCUAAAUUAUCAAUUAGACAUUAAUUAACUUACCCAGACCAUAAUCAACUCUCGAUGUCAUCGCUAGCCUGUGAUGUUUAUUGGAUUCGAUUCCGAUUUGCUGUUCGACUUCCAUUCAUGGAAUCGCUAAAAUCUCGGUUCAAUUCCCUUUACAUUAUCUAGUUUGUAAUCAUUAUAGUGAGAACUGCCAGCUCUUUAUCUAAUCUCCCAUAAUGUAUCUUUAAAUAAACUUAUUAGAGCAUACAUUAACAUGAAACGGUUUUGUACAAACUACAUUAGAUAUUCAAAUACAAACAAAAUAUAAUUUUAUUUUA